GUUGAAAAUGAAGAUGUGUAUCCUCAGUGAAGCCAAUGAGUCCACAGAAGCCAGGACUGUGUAACCUGCUGCUGCACAUCAGGAUUCCAGAAGAGGAAAUGAACACUACGAAUAGUGAGAGCAAUAAUACACAAGGGGCCUACUUUACUGCUAUUGUUUCUUCUUCUGUAAUACCCCUGGUGAGUUUUCAGAGAUGGCAGGGAGCAAGUGCAACCAUAGUGCAAGUGAAAUUACCAUCCUUACUAUUGACCAAUGAUAGGAGAAAACCUCACAUCAAGAAUGUGCUCAAGUCAUCCAAGAUCAAAUGAAGACUAUCAGAUGAAUAGUUAUUACACUCCUCCCAGGAGCAAAUGAGAGAUGGGAACCCUCAGGAUGGGCAGAGCCAUCCAUGCUGAACACUUGCUGUCUCCAGCCUUGCACAAAAUUAAUGUUACAGACGGAUACCUAUGUUUCUAAAGCCUCGAUGCUGCUAUACUUUAAUAUCUUGAACUAAAUUAAUGGGUGAGACAGCAAAAACAGCCCAACAUCC
rnacentral:lncRNA from 1 species